rnacentral:ncRNA from 1 species
AAACUUAAGAGUUUGAUCCUGGCUCAGAUUGAACGCUGGCGGCAUGCUUUACACAUGCAAGUCGAACGGCAGCACGGGUGCUUGCACCUGGUGGCGAGUGGCGGACGGGUGAGUAAUACAUCGGAACGUGUCCUAAAGUGGGGGAUAACGCAUCGAAAGAUGUGCUAAUACCGCAUAAUCUCUGAGGAGAAAAGUAGGGGAUCGAAAGACCUUAUGCUUUUGGAGCGGCUGAUGUCUGAUUAGCUAGUUGGUAAGGUAAUGGCUUACCAAGGCGACGAUCAGUAGUUGGUCUGAGAGGACGACCAGCCACACUGGGACUGAGACACGGCCCAGACUCCUACGGGAG